AGCGGGGUAGAGGAAUGGCCAACUCAUCAGACUCAUGAUCUGAAGAUUGCAGGUUCGAAUCCUGUCCCCGCCU
rnacentral:tRNA from 1 species